rnacentral:ncRNA from 1 species
UGCGCAGCGCGUGUUUGAUCACGAUGUUGGGGAAGCUCACACCCUUCAGACGGGCGGUCCGGAUGUAUUGUGCGGUCAUCACCUCGGUCAUCGAUGCACGGGUCAUACGGGCAAUAUAGCCCAUGCCAUAAAGGGCAAUGGUCAGAACCGGCAGGAAGAAGUUCUCAAAGGUCGGGUUU